rnacentral:rRNA from 1 species
UACGUAGGGGGCUAGCGUUGUCCGGAAUCAUUGGGCGUAAAGCGCGUGUAGGCGGCUUGGCAAGUCAGUUGUGAAAGCCCGGGGCCCAACCCCGGAACUGCAUCUGAAACUGCUUGGCUCGAGUCCCGGAGAGGAAGGCAGAAUUCCCGGUGUAGGGGUGAAAUCCGUAGAUAUCGGGAGGAAUACCAGCGGCGAAGGCGGCCUUCUGGACGGUGACUGACGCUGAGACGCGAAAGCGUGGGGAGCAAACAGG